rnacentral:rRNA from 1 species
GGGGAAGGGUAGCUUGCUACCUGACCUAGCGGCGGACGGGUGAGUAAUGCUUAGGAAUCUGCCUAUUAGUGGGGGGCAACAUUCCGAAAGGAAUGCUAAUACCGCAUACGCCCUACGGGGGAAAGCAGGGGAUCUUCGGACCUUGCGCUAAUAGAUGAGCCUAAGUCAGAUUAGCUAGUUGGUGGGGUAAAGGCCUACCAAGGCGACGAUCUGUAGCGGGUCUGAGAGGAUGAUCCGCCACACUGGGACUGAGACACGGCCCAGACUCCUACGGGAGGCAGCAGUGGGGAAUAUUGGACAAUGGGCGAAAGCCUGAUCCAGCCAUGCCGCGUGUGUGAAGAAGGCCUUUUGGUUGUAAAGCACUUUAAGCGAGGAGGAGGCUACUGAGAUUAAUACUCUUGGAUAGUGGACGUUACUCGCAGAAUAAGCACCGGCUAACUCUGUGCCAGCAGCCGCGGUAAUACAGAGGGUGCGAGCGUUAAUCGGAUUUACUGGGCGUA